GACGAACGCUGGCGGCGUGCCUAACACAUGCAAGUCGAACGGAGUAAUUGAUUAAGUUUACUUAAGAGAUUGCUUAGUGGCGAACGGGUGAGUAACGCGUGGGUAACCUGCCCUUAAGACCGGGACAACAGCUGGAAACGGCUGCUAAUACCGGAUGUAUUCAUCGGAAGGCAUCUUCUGAUGAAGAAAGCUGGCCUCUGUAUAUGCUAGCGCUUAAGGAUGGAUCCGCGUCUGAUUAGCUAGUUGGUAAGGUAACGGCUUACCAAGGCGACGAUCAGUAGCCGGCCUGAGAAAGUAAUCGGCCACACUGGGACUGAGACACGGCCCAGACUCCUACGGGAGGCAGCAGUGGGGAAUCUUCCGCAAUGGACGAAAGUCUGACGGAGCAACGCCGCGUGUAUGAAGAAGGCCUUCGGGUUGUAAAAUACUGUUGUUAGGGAAGAACGGCAUCUGUGUAAAUAAUGCAGGUGAUUGACGGUACCUAACGAGGAAGCCCCGGCUAACUACGUGCCAGCAGCCGCGGUAAUACGUAGGGGGCAAGCGUUGUCCGGAAUCAUUGGGCGUAAAGGGCGCGUAGGCGGCUAUAUAAGUCUGAUGUGAAAGUGCGGAGCUUAACU
rnacentral:rRNA from 1 species